ACAGGCUUAUCAGACUUGAUGAAAAAAACAAUGUAAAGAUUGCUAUUAGUGGCCCAUAGAUGAAAGAACAAUAAAGAAGAACGAAGCAGUAUAACAGUAUUCGAUAUCAUGAGAAUUUGACAACUAUCAACAUUGUUGCCCCUGUUGUGCACAUUACCAAAACAACUGAAAUGCACAACAAAUUUGAGCAAGAGAAUAAGAAUACAAGAACCAGAAUUCUCUAACUAUAUAGGAGGGUGAUUAUCCACUCAGCAGAUUCUGUAGAGCAACUUCACAAGAUAAUUGAAAAAUGGAAAAAAUUUUACAACUUCGUUUCAAUCAAAUCCAAAGUAAAAGACAAAAAAUUCAAGACCAAAAUUUGAAUUUUUUGAAGAAUGAAAGACAUCAUAAACAGAUAAUCACUAUAACUUCACAAACCAAGAACUUUCACAUGGCAUUACCAUUUAAGUUUUCUAUCGUAACUUUCAUAAUCUUGGAUGAAUUUUGUGAUUAAUAACGGCCUGUUCUCAUUCAUCAACUCAAAAGUCAUGUGGGAGACGACCAGUAUUUCAUUUAUCAACUCAAAACUGUAUACUAAAACUUCUAACAUCUUCCCUAAUUAAUCUUUAAAGCCAAAAAUGCCCACAAACGAAUAAAAUUAUUAAAAUUGUACUAGAACAACAACAUUCAUAGUCUAAUCAACAAAAUGCAAAUAAAUUUAACAUUAUUUUUGUUGCUUCCCAUAUUGAUUCCCAUGCCAUUUCGAGAAUGAAGAAAUGCAGAAAUUGAAGUUCUAUAAGUCCUAAAUCAUAUCAAUUGCAGUCCAACGUCUAGACAACCAAAGUGGGGCAACAAGUACAUUAUCAUAUCAGAUCUAACAAAAACAGAAGAACAAAUAUGAUCAAAAGAACAAUCACAAACAGGGCAUAAAAAUGAUAAAGAUGAAUAAAAAUAAGAAGAGAUCCCAAUACAAAAAAGACAGAAAGCGGGAGAAGAGUGG
rnacentral:misc_RNA from 1 species